UCCUCUGUAGCUCAAUGGUGGAGCACUCGGCUGUUAACCGAUAGGUUGGAGGUUCGAGCCCUCUCGGAGGAG
rfam:Clostridium ventriculi strain 2789STDY5834858 genome assembly, contig: SCcontig000005